GACGAACGCUGGCGGCGUGCUUAACACAUGCAAGUCGAACGAUGAACCCGGUGCUUGCUCCGGUGGAUUAGUGGCGAGCGGGUGAGUAACACGUGAGUAACCUGCCCUUGACUCUGGGAUAACUGCGGGAAACUGUAGCUAAUACCGGAUACGACCCUCGGCGGCAUCGCCAGGGGGUGGAAAGAAUUUCGGUCAAGGAUGGACUCGCGGCCUAUCAGCUAGUUGGUGAGGUAACGGCUCACCAAGGCGACGACGGGUAGCCGGCCUGAGAGGGUGACCGGCCACACUGGGACUGAGACACGGCCCAGACUCCUACGGGAGGCAGCAGUGGGGAAUAUUGCACAAUGGGCGCAAGCCUGAUGCAGCAACGCCGCGUGAGGGAUGACGGCCUUCGGGUUGUAAACCUCUUUUAGUAGGGAAGAAGCGAAAGUGACGGUACCUGCAGAAAAAGCACCGGCUAACUACGUGCCAGCCGCCGCAGUAA
rnacentral:rRNA from 1 species